rnacentral:snRNA from 1 species
GAGUCUCUUUUCUUAGGGUCU